rnacentral:rRNA from 1 species
UACAGAGGUCCCAAGCGUUGUUCGGAUUUACUGGGCGUAAAGCGCACGCAGGCGGCCCGGCGCGUGGGGUGUGAAAGCUGGCGGCUUAACUGCCAGACGCCAUCCCAUACGGCUGGGCUCGAGCCCUGCAGAGGUCCAUGGAAUUGCCGGUGUAGUGGUGAAAUGCGUAGAGAUCGGCAGGAACACCCAGGGGGAAACCAGUGGACUGGGCAGGAGCUGACGCUCAGGUGCGAAAGCGUGGGGAGCGAACCGG